UAAUAUAUCGGAACGUACCCUCGAGUGGGGGAUAACGCAGCGAAAGUUGCGCUAAUACCGCAUACGAUCUACGGAGGAAAGCAGGGGAUUCGCAAGGACCUUGUGCUCGUAGAGCGGCCGAUAUCUGAUUAGCUAGUUGGUAGGGUAAAAGCCUACCAAGGCUACGAUCAGUAGCUGGUCUGAGAGGACGACCAGCCACACUGGAACUGAGACACGGUCCAG
rnacentral:rRNA from 1 species